rnacentral:rRNA from 1 species
UACGGAGGGUGCAUGCGUUAUCCGGAUUUACUGGGUUUAAAGGGUGCGUAGGCGGAUUUGUAAGUCUGAGGUGAAAUCUCCGAGCUUAACUCGGAAACUGCCUUGGAUACUAUAGAUCUUGAAUGUCGUUGAGGUUAGCGGAAUAUGUCAUGUAGCGGUGAAAUGCUUAGAUAUGACAUAGAACACCUAUUGCGAAGGCAGCUGACUAAGCGAAUAUUGACGCUGAUGCACGAAAGCGUGGGGAUCAAACAGG